AGUCCAGACAGACAGAAGUACCCGCUUGAGAGAGAAAUUUGCAGAAGAAUAAGCAAUAACUUUGCAAAAUGUAUAAUGAUUAUUUAUUUACUAUAUUAUGUUCAAAUGUUAAACAAUUUACUUUCAUAUGAAUUUUGAAUUAAAAUGUUGAUUAACUGUUGUUUAUCAGCCCAUUGCUAAUUAAGCUAGCUAACACUUCGGACGCAAUAGCUAGCUAAUGCUAGUAGGCAACCUCGUCCUGCUUAUCGGGUGUUUAGAGAUCAACAACUCAACUAACAUGGCCUUGUUGUAGAUUCAGUAAUGCAUCAGUUGUGAAGACCCGGACAGUUUUAAAAUCAUGAAUUGGUGAACAUGCUAGCCAGCUAAAUACAUUUCCCCCAUUUGUUUCCUGAUCGCGUUUCACUCCAUUGCAUUGGCUUGCAGGAGAAAACAGUCGUGCCCGUCUUGUUUGCAGGACACCUGACCCUGUCACCCUGCAGAUGUAAGGAACUUGUUGUGAACCUCCCAGCCACCAGGGAUGAUCCCCAUAUCCAAGGAUGUUAUUAAGGACUGUGCAAUAUCACAAUGUUAGAAAUGGAUUCACCAGUUAUUGUUUAUCAUGCAGAUUUGUCUGAACAUUGUAAUUUAUGAAAGUCAUUAUUAAAUACAGACAUGAA